GACGUGACUUCAGAGUUUGAUCCUGGCUCAGGACGAACGCUGGCGGCGUGCCUAACACAUGCAAGUCGAACGGGGUAGAGAGCUUCGGUUUUCUACUUAGUGGCGAACGGGUGAGUAACGCGUGAGAAACCUGCCUUUCAGUGGGGGACAACAGUUGGAAACGACUGCUAAUACCGCAUAAUGUUUCGAGAGGGCAUCCUCUUGAAACCAAAGCUUUAUGUGCUGAAAGAUGGUCUCGCGUCUGAUUAGCUAGUUGGUGAGGUAACGGCUCACCAAGGCGACGAUCAGUAGCCGGUCUGAGAGGAUGAACGGCCACAUUGGGACUGAGAUACGGCCCAG
rnacentral:rRNA from 1 species